rnacentral:rRNA from 1 species
UACGAAGGGGGCUAGCGUUGUUCGGAAUCACUGGGCGUAAAGCGCACGUAGGCGGAUCUUUAAGUCAGUGGUGAAAGCCUCCAGCUCAACUGGAGAACUGCCAUUGAUACUGGCGGGCUUGAGUACAGACGAGGUUGGCGGAAUUGAUUGUGUAGCGGUGAAAUGCAUAGAUACAAUCAAGAACACCGAUUGCGUAGGCAGCUAACUAGGCUGUAACUGACGCUGAGGCACGAAAGCGUGGGGAGCGAACAGG